GUCUUUGACCAUAGCGAUUGUUUGUGGUAAUUACUUUAGAAAAGUAAUUCCUUCUAAAGUAAUUAUCACAAACAAUCGCUAUUGUCAAAGACUUU